rnacentral:misc_RNA from 1 species
UUGAAGCAGCCCUGGCAUUUCACAUCCAUGAAAAAUGAGUUAGGGGACUGCAGAAGGCGCUUGAGCUUGUGCUUUCUCUUCUCGAGCUCGGCCGGAGGGUUGAGCAAAUCGAUGUCGUUUUGGAGAACCAUCUUCAAGGUGAAUAUGAAUUUCGUAAACCCUAGGAACCCUUCUGCCACUGCCAGAAAGCCCAGAGGAGUAAAACAGUUGAAUACUAUGAAUAUAAAGGGCCUUGAUGAGAUCUCC